rnacentral:rRNA from 1 species
GACGAACGCUGGCGGCGUGCCUAAUACAUGCAAGUCGAACGCUUCUUUUUCACCGAACUUCGGUUCAUCGAAAAAGAGGAGUGGCGAACGGGUGAGUAACACGUGGGUAACCUGCCCAUCAGAAGGGGAUAACACUUGGAAACAGGUGCUAAUACCGUAUAAUGCUUUUUCUCGCAUGAGAGCAAGCUGAAAGGCGCUUUUGCGUCACUGAUGGAUGGACCCGCGGUGCAUUAGCUAGUUGGUGAGGUAACGGCUCACCAAGGCCACGAUGCAUAGCCGACCUGAGAGGGUGAUCGGCCACACUGGGACUGAGACACGGCCCAGACUCCUACGGGAGGCAGCAGUAGGGAAUCUUCGGCAAUGGACGAAAGUCUGACCGAGCAACGCCGCGUGAGUGAAGAAGGUUUUCGGAUCGUAAAACUCUGUUGUUAGAGAAGAACAAGGAUGAGAGUAAAAUGUUCAUCCUUGAC